UACGUAGGGUGCAAGCGUUGUCCGGAAUUAUUGGGCGUAAAGAGCUCGUAGGCGGUUUGUUGCGUCGGCUGUGAAAUCCCCGAGGCUCAACCUCGGGUCUGCAGUCGAUACGAGCAAACUAGAGUGUUGCAGGGGAGACUGGAAUUCCUGGUGUAGCGGUGAAAUGCGCAGAUAGUCAGGGAGGAACACCGGUGGCGAAGGCGGGUCUCUGGGCA
rnacentral:rRNA from 1 species